rnacentral:rRNA from 1 species
UACGAAGGGGGCUAGCGUUGCUCGGAAUCACUGGGCGUAAAGGGUGCGUAGGCGGGUCUUUUAAGUCAGGGGUGAAAUCCUGGAGCUCAACUCCAGAACUGCCUUUGAUACUGAAGAUCUUGAGUUCGGGAGAGGUGAGUGGAACUGCGAGUGUAGAGGUGAAAUUCGUAGAUAUUCGCAAGAACACCAGUGGCGAAGGCGGCUCACUGGCCCGAUACUGACGCUGAGGCACGAAAGCGUGGGGAG